rnacentral:rRNA from 1 species
UACAGAGGUCUCAAGCGUUGUUCGGAUUCAUUGGGCGUAAAGGGUGCGUAGGUGGCGUCGUAAGUCAGGUGUGAAAUCUCGGGGCUCAACCCCGAAACUGCACUUGAUACUGCGAUGCUCGAGUACUGGAGAGGAGAUUGGAAUUUACGGUGUAGCAGUGAAAUGCGUAGAUAUCGUAAGGAAGACCAGUGGCGAAGGCGAAUCUCUGGACAGUUACUGACACUGAGGCACGAAGGCCAGGGGAGCGAACAGG